rnacentral:rRNA from 1 species
UACGUAGGGUGCAAGCGUUGUCCGGAAUUAUUGGGCGUAAAGAGCUCGUAGGCGGUCUGUCGCGUCGAAUGUGAAAGCCCGGGGCUUAACUCCGGGUCUGCAUUCGAUACGGGCAGGCUAGAGUUCGGUAGGGGAGAUCGGAAUUCCUGGUGUAGCGGUGAAAUGCGCAGAUAUCAGGAGGAACACCGGUGGCGAAGGCGGAUCUCUGGGCCGAUACUGACGCUGAGGAGCGAAAGCGUGGGGAGCGAACAGG